UCAAGAAGAAAAAGAAGAAGACUUAGAAAUGGCUUCAAAAGCUGUUGUUCAAGAACAACCCAGUGGCAACAAUAGUAAAUGAAAAUAAUCCAAUUUUAUAACACCGAUCAUGGUUUGGACUGAUUUUUGAAGGGAUUAUUGAUCAAUUUUGGGAUGCACUCUUUUUCUUUCUUUAAGUUGAUUAAUUACUACUGCAGACCAAUCAGACCAAAAGAUUAAUAUCAAUUAAGUUAGGUUAUUUAAGUAUAAUAUGAUAAGGAUAGCAUUGCAAGAUUAAUUGACCCUUCUUAGUUGAUAUUGGAUAAGUGGUGUCAUUCUGUUAUGUGGUGGGAGUUUGAGUAAAGUGUUUCAUUCUUAGAGUUGCAGCAGGCAUAUUGGGACGGUUGAUUAAUGAGUAUUUUAGUGUUUUUAGUGUUUCAUCAAUCUGCUCAAGUUGGGAUGAGUAUUCUAUUGUAACUUUUUGUUCUGGGAACAUUAUAUCUAUCCUCUUGUUGAUGGAAGAAUGCAUCUCUUUAGAAGUUCAUGCUGUAAAUGUAAGUCAUUGUUGAAUAAUACUUCGCUCAUCUCUCUUCUCACUUCAUGUCUGUUAAAUAGGUUGAGUAAUACACUUAAAUUUGGAGGCGGCUAAAUUAUCAGACAUGGGAUGGAUGAUUGUUGUGUUGUGGUCGAGGCUGAAAAUCUGAUUGUUAUCGGUAUAUUUUGUGUUAGAGAUUCCAUUUAUUGGCUUUCUUCUUGUUACACUUUUUUAACCAAAUUUUGUAGAUAUAGAAUUUAAAUUUCAGUAAUAUGAUAUAUAUAAAUUUGCUCAACAUUCUGUAACUUCGCUUUUUCCAAAUUGGUUUUUCCACAUGUGUUGUUAUACAUGGUGUUAACUAGAAGGAGAGUUGAAACAGGGUGAAGUAGGGGAAGUGUGGUAAGAGUUGAGAACGGGAGGAAAUGGCUGAGAUUGCUACUGUCUGAAGUAGGGAGGUCAAAGUCACUAGAAGGAAUUUCUACUGUGCAGCAGCGGUAGUGCUAACCUAGGGAAGCAUUGGCGGAAUGGAGGUCUUCUUGACAUUAGUCGAGUGUUAUCUCUGCAUGAUAUUAGUCAUGUGUUAUCUCUGCAUUUUUGUCUUAUACUUACACCUUGAGGCGUUUAUCACAUAAGAAAUCAAGAUGCUGGAUUGAGGAGGAAAAUCUGGAGACAGAUGCAGGGAUUGAUACAGAAAAACUGUUAACAAGCCUGAAGUGAUUGACAUUAUAUUGCCCUUAUUUAUUGGAAGUUAGGGUGAUGCUUUAACUCUUGUUAUUUAUUGACCUUUUUACUUAUGUAAGAAAGAAAAACAUGCCUAUAUUUUUCUUUGCUUUUAGAAUUUUGAAUCUGAAUUUUGUACGAAUGUUGUUACAUUUUCGAGUUCAAUUAAUAAUUAUUAUUCGAGUUAUUUGAGAUA
rnacentral:lncRNA from 1 species